UACAGAGGUCCCGAGCGUUGUUCGGAUUCACUGGGCGUAAAGGGUGCGUAGGUGGCUUAGAAAGUUUGAUGUGAAAGCUCAGGGCUUAACCCUGAAAUGGCAUUGAAUACUGCUGAGCUGGAGGUUUGGAGGGGGGACUGGAAUUCUUGGUGUAGCAGUGAAAUGCGUAGAUAUUGGGAGGAACACCAGUGGCGAAGGCGGCUCACUGGACCGGAACUGACGCUGAGGCGCGAAAGCGUGGGGGAGCAAACAGG
rnacentral:rRNA from 1 species